rnacentral:rRNA from 1 species
AUUGAACGCUGGCGGCAGGCCUAACACAUGCAAGUCGAGCGGAUGAAGGGAGCUUGCUCCUGGAUUCAGCGGCGGACGGGUGAGUAAUGCCCAGGAAUCUGCCUGGUAGUGGGGGAUAACGUCCGGAAACGGGCGCUAAUACCGCAUACGUCCUGAGGGAGAAAGUGGGGGAUCUUCGGACCUCACGCUAUCAGAUGAGCCUAGGUCGGAUUAGCUAGUUGGUGGGGUAAAGGCCUACCAAGGCGACGAUCCGUAACUGGUCUGAGAGGAUGAUCAGUCACACUGGAACUGAGACACGGUCCAGACUCCUACGGGAGGCAGCAGUGGGGAAUAUUGGACAAUGGGCGAAAGCCUGAUCCAGCCAUGCCGCGUGUGUGAAGAAGGUCUUCGGAUUGUAAAGCACUUUAAGUUGGGAGGAAGGGCAGUAAGUUAAGACCUUGCUGUUUUGACGUUACCAACAGAAUAAGCACCGGCUAACUUCGU